rnacentral:rRNA from 1 species
AUUGAACGCUGGCGGCAGGCCUAACACAUGCAAGUCGAGCGAGCGGCGGACGGGUGAGUAAUGUAUGGGGAACUGCCCGAUGGAGGGGGAUAACUACUGGAAACGGUGGCUAAUACCGCAUACUAUCGGAUGAAUCCAUAUGGGAUUAGCUAGUAGGUGGGGUAACGGCUCACCUAGGCGACGAUCGCUAGCUGGUCUGAGAGGAUGACCAGCCACACUGGAACUGAGACACGGUCCAGACUCCUACGGGAGGCAGCAGUGGGGAAUAUUGCACAAUGGGCGCAAGCCUGAUGCAGCCAUGCCGCGUGUAUGAAGAAGGCCUUCGGGUUGUAAAGUACUUUCAGCGGGGAGGCGUUACUCGCAGAAGAAGCACCGGCUAACUCCGUGCCAGCAGCCGCGGUAAUAC